GAGAUACUCCCUCCGUUCGGAAUUACUUGUCUCGGAAAUGGAUGUAUCUAGAACUAAAAUACAUCUAGAUACAUCUAUUUUUGCGACAACUAAUUCCGAACGGAGGGAGUAUAUA
rnacentral:pre_miRNA from 1 species